GCUCAAGUCCCUGAUUAACCUUUGCCAUGAAACUAUCAGCAAGAGCUUUCAGGUCAUCUGGAACAACUUGUUCCGACAAUUGUAAAGCUUUUAGAAGAUCAGGUGCAUAUCUUGCAUCAUCUUCAGAUAUGAAUGUGAUGGCACAACCUUUCUUACCAGCUCGACCAGUCCGCCCAACACGAUGAACAUAGUCCUCAUAAUGGUUUGGAACAUCAUAAUUGAUUACCAGUUCAAGCUCCUUGACAUCUAAGCCCCUGGCUGCUAUACUAGUAGCAAUCAACAAAUUACAUACAUUACUUUUAAAGUCGGAUAUGGUGGACUCACGAUCAGUCUGAUCCUUAGCCCCAUGAAGGGAGAGACAGGGAUAACCAUGCUUGAGCAAAUCUUUAAAUAAAGCAUCACAUUUCUCCUGUGUGUGAACAAAUAUUAAAAUUUUACCUUUUUCAUACCAUUCACCAAGUAACUCAAGAAGCCGGAGGAAUCUAUCACUUUCUGGCCUCACCUCAACCAAUUGUGUUAUAUCCUUGUUCACAACACUCCUACCACCUACCUGUAUUUCAACAGGCUUGUUCAACACUUUACGAGCUAGUAUUUCAACCUGACGAGGAAAAGUUGCAGAGAACAGGACUGUUUGACGGUCUGGCCUGGUGUUUUGGACAAUUCUUGUGAUCUGAGGUUCAAAUCCCAUAUCAAACAUCCGAUCAGCUUCAUCCAUGACCAAAUAUGUGACUCUUCGCAGAUUUGUAAUCUUCCCACCACUUGUACAGAGUAUGUCAAUCAUCCUACCUGGAGUGCACACAACAAUUUCGGCUCCUCGUUUCAAUUCACUAAUUUGUUGAGCAACACCAGAACCUCCAUACACAGGUACACAGGUGAGACCCAUCACUCUUGCAAACUUCUUAAUAUCACUAUGAAUUUGCUGUACAAGCUCUCUAGUAGGGGCCAUUAUUAGCCCAAUAGGACCAUCUCCAGACAUCAGAGGAGGCUGGUCCUUAAUAUGUCUCAGCAUUGGUAAUACAAAUGCCAGUGUUUUACCAGAACCCGUCUUAGCAAUCCCAAUACAAUCUCGGCCACUCAUAAUUACUGGCAGAGCCUGAGCUUGAAUAGACAUGGGUUUCUCAUAAUUCAGUUUCUUAAUAGUGUCUAGCAUCUUGGAGGACAGUCCUGUCUGAUGCCAUGUUUUGAUUGGUUUCGGAACAUCCUUGCCAUGGAUCUUCAAUUCCAGUUGUUUCCUGUAAGCAGAAACCUCUUCAGCACUGAUUCUUGAAAUCUCCUUAACUUCUAUGUAGAAGUUCUUUCUGAAAGGAGGAUAUUCAAUCUUCGAAUGAUCCACCAAUGAUAGUUUCUCCGCCUUGGUUUUCUUCACCCGUUUCAUAAAUUCUUCAUCAUCUUCUUCCUCCAAAGGAUCUUCAUCAUUCUCAACGUUCCCAUAAUCUGAAUCCGAAUCUUCACCUGGGAUAAUUCUUCCCAUGGUUUUCUUCAUGCUCAUCUUAGGCUUUUCUUCCUUCCUCGGACCAUUUUUCUCUUUCAUACUGGAAUUUUCACCAUCCAAACUAUUGACUACGGAUUUGUUAAGCUUCUCAACUUCAGGCAAAACCAUAUCGUUCAUAAAAGCAUCCAACGGGUCAAUCUCAUCAUCGUCAACUAAACCAUCACCGCCAUUCUGAAUAACAGGGGAAUCAGAUCCAAUGCUAGAACUAACCACCUUGCCAGCUCCAUUUUCGUCGUCCAUGACCUUGCCAGUAUCAUCCCUAUCAAUAUCCAUGCCAGUUUUCCCCUCAGCAUCUUCAUCAUCAGACUCACCAUCCAAUGUCCAAGUCUUGCCCAACUUAGGUUCUUCAGCACCUGCAUCAACCCCAAGUGUCUCCCUCUCAGACUCCUCUUUUUUUCUUUUUAGCUCUUGCCAUUCCUGAACUCUCCUCCUUCGCUUCUCCAUCUCGUCAUCUAAUUUCCUUUGCUCCUCAGCUAGAUCCUCUUCUCGACUCUUCUGAUCCUUUUCAGCUGAUACUUCAUCGGUGCUCUCUUCCCUUAGCCUGUUGUUUGGUUUGCUACUCCUUUCACGAUCCCUCUCCUUAUGAUGAUCAUCAUUAUCCCUCUUUCGCCUCUUUCUUUCACGAUCCUUUGUAUCAACUUCGUCAUCACUCCCCUUUUCAUAUACUUCCCGGUGUCUAUCCUUUUCGCGAUUCCUCUCCUUCUCCCUUUCUCUCCUCUCUCUAUCUCUCUUCCUCUCCCGUUCCCUCUCCUUCUCCCUUUCCCUCUCGCGUUCCCUCUCCUUCUCCCUUUCCCUCUCGCGUUCCCUCUCCUUCUCCCUUUCCCUCUCG
rnacentral:misc_RNA from 1 species